rnacentral:lncRNA from 1 species
GGUGUGUGGGCCUCUACGUCAUGGGCCUUGGGCUGUGGUCAAGCCCCUGGCCCGGGGUGAAGGAAUCCAGCGGUCAUCAAUUGCCCCUUCACCUUCUCGGCAGUUAUUGCUCCAACUGCCGAGGGGGUGAAUACCAAGAACUAGUAUGAUCGCGUCUGUUCAGGUUCAGGUGCCUUAAUAACAUCCUUUCAUCUUUCAGUCGUUGUGCAGCUUCUGAAUUCUAUCUGCUCUUUUCUCUUUCUGUCUUUUUUUUCUAUUCUUAUUGUCCUCUGCCGCCUUUGCUUUUUUUGUCAUCAUUAUCUGGACAUCUCCUUUCUUUCCUUUCCCGUGAAUAUCUUUUAAGAAUCUGACAUCACUGGCUUAGGGUCUAGUGUAGCUCUGCCCCGUACUAAGUCCUCAGGCUCCGAGUAUAUAUCAGCGCCAGCUUUUCUUCAUUCUUGAGCCUUCUGUUGAAAUGAGAAAUUCUUGUUUUAUCUGUGGCAGGUCUAUUCGACGCCUUCUUCAAACAGAUUGCCUUGUGCCUCAGAGGUUUGUUUUGAUUUUGCUCUUAUCAUCUUAAGGGAGAACUGUUU